rnacentral:rRNA from 1 species
UACGUAGGGCGCAAGCGUUAUCCGGAAUUAUUGGGCGUAAAGAGCUCGUAGGCGGUUUGUCGCGUCUGCCGUGAAAGUCCGGGGCUCAACUCCGGAUCUGCGGUGGGUACGGGCAGACUAGAGUGAUGUAGGGGAGACUGGAAUUCCUGGUGUAGCGGUGAAAUGCGCAGAUAUCGGGAGGAACACCAGCGGCGAAGGCGGCUCACUGGGCACCACCGUGACGCUGAGGCGCGGAAAGCGUGGGGAGCGAACCGG